rnacentral:rRNA from 1 species
ACGAAGAAAGGCAAGAAUGCAACAGCAAUCAUUCUGAACAAGGCCAUUUGGAAGGGAGUGAAUCUUUGCAUUAAGGUGUUCGAGCCCUUGGUGAAGGUGCUACCCUAGGUUGAUGGUGAUGUGUGGCCGCCCAUGGGCUUUGUGUAUGGAGAGAUUGUGAAGUCAAAGAAGGAGACAAAAGAGGCUUUUGGCAAUGUCGAGCGUCAUUACAAAGAUGCGCUAGCCAUUGUUUACAAGAGUAUGAAAGAUAUUUGA